ensembl:lncRNA
GGAACGUUUCCCGUACGCCGGACGGAGCAGACGGAGCAGGAACGAACGGGGAGGAAGAAGGAAGAGGGCGAGAGAAGUGCUUCACGUCAAACUUUGGGGAGCAGUGCUGUGACGUCUGGGAAAUUACAGUAAAACAGUGUUUUUUUUUCAAGAUGUUCAGGACAUUCCAUCAGGUGCCAGUCAGGGAAAAGUGAGCCAAAGUUAAGUUGAAACAAACUAUAGGAAACAGUCUUCUUAUGGUAUGCAGCGAUUUAUUGUAGCAUAUUUAUUAGUGACAAAUAGGAAGAAUUUUCUCACCGGUUUCAGUUGUUGUGCUAAACUAUCAGUUUAGAUAUUUAUUUUGUAGAACAUGAGUGCCAUUAAUCUGCUCAUUUAAUCAGACAGGAAAGCAAAAAAAUAUCCCACACAUUUCACACACAGCUCAGUAAAGGUUUUGCCUCCAGUGAAUUAAACUCAAAUAAACAUCUAAUCACUACAACCUAAACAACCAACAACUCCAACGCGGUGUAUUGCUAUUUCACUUUGGGACUCUUUGUUUGUCCAAUCCUGGAAUUGUUUAUUUCUCUUCCUUCCCUCAGUCAGAGGCCAACGCGACGCCGCCAUUGCCGCACAUCUGGAAACUGAUACGAAAAAAACAAUCCUGCAAAGUCCAUAAGACGGGGAGGAAACCGAGGACGAGGACUUUUCUCCCCCCAAUGCGAGCGAGCAGCAUGACGGAAAUAACUCAACUUCGGGAGGAAACUAUGCAGCCUCACAUCACCCCCCUCCCCCGCCUCCCCCGUGCGUCCUUGCGGAGGGACGGUUGCUCCAACAAAGAUGCUGUUAAAUGGAUUUGUGUGUGCGCGCGUGCAAAUGUGUGCGCGUGUGCCGACACGCAGCGUUUUUGUGCGGCGCUUCGGCAGAAAGCUGAUUAAAGAGCGAGUGAGGAAGUUGCUUUCUACCCCACAGUGGACCGACAAUGUGCAGGAUUAAUCAGGCCCGGCUCCUAUCCACGCAGGUUAAUUAGGGUUAAAUGAUAAUUAGGACACCAUUAAAAAGGCAAACAACCACAGAGGACCCUUAAUCCGUGCGGUGGUGUGCUGCGGCGCGUAGGUUUAUUUGUUUGUGGAGGUGUGUGUGUGUGUGUGUGUGUGAGGUGUUUUUGGGGCAUCUGCUGAGCUAUGAGUUUGUGUGAAUUAGAUAUAAAAAAAAGACAAAGGCCGCUUAGUUUGAACCUCACUGAUGAAAUGUUGUUCUUGACGAAGGUCACGUCACACAGAGUAAAUCUUUCUGAAUGGUUGAAAAUGCAGAAUCCGAGGUGAAAAUACCGACAACAAAGAGCAGCCCCGUCCACGUGCAUCGCAUCCACGCCACGUCACGUUGACCGCCGCUUAUCGAACCGCCCGCAAAAAAGUCCACCGCGGAGGAAAAUAGAAUUAUGACCGACACCCAGAAUGCUUUGCACCUGCACUGAUGGGAUGUAAAUGCGUCCGGCUCGACCUGGAACAUCCUCCGUGUCCCUACUCAGAUACGAUAAUUUGCUCCCGUUUUGUGACACCAGGAUGCUGCAGUGACAAAUUAGAAUUGAUUGGAGCCUCGGCUAAAAUGUCUCAGGAUGUGACCCCUGAGCUCAGAGGCAUUUUGCCGUAUUAGUAUUCUGCCCCUGACUGCUGCUACCUGGCAGCUAAGGUUUUAGAGCAUGAAUUAAAUCAAUGUGCAUCACUGUGGGGAUCUUUCCUUCAUCUCGCUGUAUUGCAGUUACUUGCAUGUCUUUCCACCAGCAUCACUAUAAUACCAUAAUGCAACACAGUCACUUGCAUGACCGUUGUACAUUAAACAUCUCCAAUCAAGUUUUACAUGUUUUUUUGAUGACGAUUUAUUCCCCAAAUCUGCAGAACUCCUUCGCUCUGCUGCACCCAGAUGUUAACUGACCAAAUGUACAACCCCCCCCCCGA